AUUGAACGCUGGCGGCAGGCCUAACACAUGCAAGUCGAACGAGUGGCGGACGGGUGAGUAAUGUCUGGGAAACUGCCUGAUGGAGGGGGAUAACUACUGGAAACGGUAGCUAAUACCGCAUACCAUCGGAGGCGCCCAGAUGGGAUUAGCUAGUUGGUGGGGUAAAGGCGCACCAAGGCCACGAUCCGUAGCUGGUCUGAGAGGAUUACCAGCCAGACUGGGACUGAGACACGGUCCAGACUCCUACGGGAGGCAGCAGUGGGGAAUAUUGCACAAUGGGCGCAAGCCUGAUCCAGCCAUGCCGCGUGUAUGAAGAAGGCCUUCGGGUUGUAAAGUACUUUCAGCGGGGAGGCGUUACCCGCAGAAGAAGCACCGGCUAACUACGUGCCAGCAGCCGCGGUAAUAC
rnacentral:rRNA from 1 species